CAAAGUGUUUAUUUCAGCGGAUAGAAGUGGCUGUCUCGGUGACUUCAUGAAGGUAUUUAUUUUCAGUUAUUUAAUGGAAUGGAACAGCACCCCAGGAAGGUGAGUGAAAGUAUUCAGGUUUUAGCAAAGGAAGCUUUUAAAAUUCAUCUUUUCUUAUUUAUUUUUUUAACAGCCAAUGAAGAAGAAAACUCCUGUUUUGCUCGGCUGUUGUUGGUUGCACAAGUACCUAUUUGAUUUAAAGUACAGCUCAUUUGGUUAGAAUUGUUGGGAGAGGCUGUAGGAAACUUCAGUGGUUUGACUUAAGUGACAUGACAGCAUUUUUCAGAAGGCUCUGUCCUGUAAGGAUGUAAAUGCUUUGAAUUAUCACUGACGCUCAACACUUCUCAACGACGUUCAUGUGAGAUGUGCGCUCGUUCAAUGCGUUAGAGAUGCCACUUUCUAAAUCGGAUCCUUAUUACAAGACAAACACUCAGAAAACCACGUUCUGACAGCCUUAUGCUCUGCACUCUACAUCCUCUCCUUUUCUGGGCAUCUUUGCAAGCUCGCAAGCGCCUUCUUGCUGCAGGUUGCGGUUCUGUUAACGGUGCCGCGGCGUGAUGCUCUGUCCGGGGCGCGCUGGCGCGGCUGUGGCAUGGCUGCCGCUCGCCCACGGACACCCGCGGGGCGAGAGGGAGGCGUGCUCUUCCUGUCCGGGGCGUCUUCAUUGGCCAGCGCCUGUGACGUGUCUGGUGGGGAUUGGUGGUUGCGGCUGUCGGGUCCGUGGCUCGGCGCGCUCUGCGGGCGCGGGGUCGCCAUGCUGCCGGGGCCGCGCAAAGAUUCUGCAAGGGGAUUCUCUCAGUGUAACAUCUGCUGAGGAGAGAGAAACUACUCCCGUUUUCCUCGCCGGAUUUUGCUCCGGUUUUGGGAUGGCAGACACCCCCUCUGUGGGCGACGCUCCCGGAGCAGAGGACGAUACGGACCUGGGUGUUUUGUAUGGAACGUUGCGAGGAAGUGUCGUUGGAUUACGAUACUACACAGGGAUUGUUAAUAACAAUGAAAUGGUUGCACUUCAGCGAGAACCCAACAAUCCUUAUGACAAAAAUGCAGUGAAAGUAAAUAACGUGAACGGAGACCAGGUGGGCCAUAUAAAGAAAGAACUGGCAGCAGCUUUGGCAGGCAUUAUGGACAACAAGCUAGCAUUGGUUGAAGGAGUUGUCCCUUAUGGAGCAAAAAAUGUGUUUACUAUGCCUGUUCAAAUGAGCUUUUGGGGAAAAGAAGAAAACAAGGAAGCAGUACUGGAUCAGCUGAAAAGGCACGGGUUUAAAUUGGCUCCUCCUCUGAAAGUAGGUUCAGAAUGUGGGUUUGGAUCGAAGUGGAUUUCUGGGAAAGCUGGUCCAAGUUACAGAGCUCCGUUUCACGCUCCCGUGCAGUUGACACCUGAACAGCUUAUAAGUGAAUUUGACAAAUUGUUUGAGGAUCUGAAGGAAGAUGAUAAAACUCGUGAGAUGGAAGGAGCAGAGGCCCUCGGCACGCUCUUGCUGCCCCAUCAGAAGCAGGCGUUAGCUUGCAUGGUCUCACGUGAGAACAGGAACAAUUUGCCACCGUUUUGGGAAGAGAGAGGUGGCUUCUAUUACAAUACACUUACAAAUUUUGCAGAAAAGAUGCGACCUCAAGAUGUUCCUGGAGGGAUACUGGCUGACGAUAUGGGACUGGGUAAAACCCUGACUACGAUUGCACUGAUUCUCACGAAUUUCCAGGAUGGCAAACCUCUUCCUGUUGGAAAGAUCACAAGUGAGAGGUUUCGUCAGGAAUCUGGUACUAACAGCACGAGCAACGUUGGACGCGGACUGUGUGAAGACUCUGGCAAGGUGAUGGGCCCUGGUGCUUCUGGCAUAAAGAAGUUCGAUACUACUCCAUUGAAAACCUCGAGUUGUCUUCCAAAAAGAUAUUUUAGAGGUAAAGCCAAGAAGCGCAGACACUCGGGCAGCGGCAGCUCGGGGCAGCCUGGGGAGCGGCCACUGCGGCAAGCUGGAACAGCUUCGUGUGUGGAAGAAGAUACAGGCUUUGCAUCUGUCCUUUUCCCUUCAUCUGCUUGUCUGAAACGACAAACAAAGAGAAAAGUUACUGCUACAGCUGAGAAUAACUGUUCAGUGGAUGUCCCCAGAGCAACACUGAUCGUGUGUCCACUGUCUGUCCUGAGCAACUGGAUUGACCAGUUCAACCAACAUGUCCACCGAGAUUUUCAUGUAAAUAUUUAUGUUUACUACGGUUCUGACCGUAACAAAGACCCAUCAGUUCUUGCAGAACAAGACGUUGUACUGACAACAUACAGCAUCUUAGCUACUGAUUAUGGUAUCAGAGAUGGCAGCCCUUUACACAAAGUGAGGUGGCUGAGGAUCGUGCUGGAUGAGGGGCACACCAUCCGAAAUCCCGGUGCUCAGCAAACGAGAGCUGCGCUGAGUCUGGAGGGACGCAGGAGAUGGGUGCUCACAGGUGCGGAACGCGCCGGGGACGCGCAGCGCCCUGGUGCAGCGCCCCCGCGUGUUCCCGCUUGGGCUUCCUCUGAGAGAUGGUUCCUGUCUGUGUCAGGCACUCCUAUUCAGAAUUCUGUGAAGGAUUUGUGGUCUCUCAUUUCCUUCUUAAAACUGAAGCCUUUCUCCGAUCAGGAGUGGUGGCGCAGGACGAUCCAGCGCCCGGUCGUGCUGGGAGCUCCGGGAGGACUCGGGCGCUUACAGUGUCUGAUAAGGAGUAUUACCCUUAGAAGAACUAAAACAAGUAAAGUUAAAGGAAAACCCGUUUUGGAGUUACCAGAACGUAAAGUUCUUAUUCAGCAUGUUACGCUUACUGAGGAGGAGAGACGGAUCUACGAGUCCGUGAAGAAGGAAGGCAAAGCUGCUGUCAGCAGGUUUCUCAGCGAAGGGACCGUUCUGGCUCACUACGCCGACGUCCUUGGCGUCCUGCUCAGACUGAGGCAGCUUUGUUGUCACCCUCGUCUUUGUAUAGACACAGCUUCUGGUCUUUCGGCGGAUAAUAAAACUCCUGAAGAACUGCGUGAGACAUUAGUGAGCAAAAUGAAGUUGGUUCUGAGCUCCGGUUCAGAUGAGGAAUGUGCAGUUUGCUUGGAAUCGCUGACGUGUCCCGUGAUAACGCGCUGCGCGCAUGUGUUUUGUAAGCCGUGUAUUUUUGAAGUCAUCAGAGGCGAACAGGAAUGAGCUCCGAGCAGAGGACUUGGUGCAGUGUCCCCAGGAAGAGGAAACAGACCCCAGCGAUGGGAAGAAGUCUGAUCAGGAGUGGACGCCCAGUUCAAAGAUAAACGCGCUCAUGCAUGCGUUGAUAGAGCUACAGAGGGAUGAUCCAACUGCUAAGUGUCUGGUCGUUUCUCAGUUCACAGCUUUCCUGUCGCUGAUAGAAAAUCCCCUGAA